rnacentral:rRNA from 1 species
GUAAUAUAUCGGAACGUGCCCAGUCGUGGGGGAUAACGUAGCGAAAGUUACGCUAAUACCGCAUACGAUCUAUGGAUGAAAGCGGGGGACCGUAAGGCCUCGCGCGAUUGGAGCGGCCGAUAUCAGAUUAGGUAGUUGGUGGGGUAAAGGCUCACCAAGCCAACGAUCUGUAGCUGGUCUGAGAGGACGACCAGCCACACUGGAACUGAGACACGGUCCAGACUCCUACGGGAGGCAGCAGUGGGGAAUUUUGGACAAUGGACGCAAGUCUGAUCCAGCCAUUCCGCGUGCAGGAUGAAGGCCCUCGGGUUGUAAACUGCUUUUGUACGGAACGAAAAGGUCUCUAUUAAUACUAGGGGCUCAUGACGGUACCGUAAGAAUAAGCACCGGCUAACUACGUGCCAGCAGCCGCGGUAAUACGUAGGGUGCAAGCGUUAAUCGGAAUUACUGGGCGUAAAGCGUGCGCAGGCGGUUAUGUAAGACAGAGGUGAAAUCCCCGGGCUCAACCUGGGAACUGCCUUUGUGACUGCAUAGCUAGAGUACGGUAGAGGGGGAUGGAAUUCCGCGUAUAGCAGUGAAAUGCGUAGAUAUGUGGAGGAACACCGAUGGCGAAGGCAAUCCCCUGGACCUGUACUGACGCUCAUGCA